rnacentral:tRNA from 1 species
UUAGCUCAGUCAGUUAGAGCAUGGUGCUAAUAACGCCAAGGUCGCAGGUUCAAUCCCCGUA